rnacentral:rRNA from 1 species
GAUGAACGCUGGCGGCGUGCCUAAUACAUGCAAGUCGAGCGAAUGGAUUAAGAGCUUGCUCUUAUGAAGUUAGCGGCGGACGGGUGAGUAACACGUGGGUAACCUGCCCAUAAGACUGGGAUAACUCCGGGAAACCGGGGCUAAUACCGGAUAAUAUUUUGAACUGCAUGGUUCAAAAUUGAAAGGCGGCUUCGGCUGUCACUUAUGGAUGGACCCGCGUCGCAUUAGCUAGUUGGUGAGGUAACGGCUCACCAAGGCAACGAUGCGUAGCCGACCUGAGAGGGUGAUCGGCCACACUGGGACUGAGACACGGCCCAGACUCCUACGGGAGGCAGCAGUAGGGAAUCUACCGCAAUGGACGAAAGUCUGACGGAGCAACGCCGCGUGAGUGAUGAAGGCAUUCGGGUCGUAAAACUCCGUUGUUAGGGAAGAACAAGUGCUAGUUGAAUAAGCUGGCACCUUGACGGUACCUAACCAGAAAGCCACGGCUAACUACGUGCCAGCCGCCGCGGUAA